UGUCUAGUUUAAAAUGUUAACAGGCUGUGUUCUUUAUAUUGACUAUAUAGAAAGAGGAGGCAAAGGAAAUAUACCCCAUCUACACCCCAGUCCAGGCCCCUUGCCUGGUCUGUAUUGUGAAUGGAGGGGCAUGG